CCUACGGGUGGCAGCAGUGAGGAAUAUUGGUCAAUGGACGGAAGUCUGAACCAGCCAUGCCGCGUGCAGGAAGACUGCUCUAUGAGUUGUACACUUCUUUUAUACAAGACUAAACCUAAACACGUGUAUUCUUCUGAAUGUACUUUACGAAUAAGGAUCGGCUAACUCCGUGCCAGCAGCCGCGGUAAUACGGAGGAUCCAAGCGUUAUCCGGAUUUAUUGGGUUUAAAGGGUGCGUAGGCGGGUUGUUAAGUUAGAGGUGAAAUGUUGGAGCUUAACCGGGGAACUGCCGUUAAUACUGUGAAUCUAGAGAAUAGAUGAGGUAGGCGGAAUGUGUGGUGGAGCGGUGAAAUGCUUAGAGAUCAUACAGAA
rnacentral:rRNA from 1 species